rnacentral:rRNA from 1 species
UACAGAGGUCCCAAGCGUUGUUCGGAUUCACUGGGCGUAAAGGGUGCGCAGGUGGUCGGGUAAGUCUGAUGUGAAAUCUCCGAGCUCAACUCGGAAAUGGCAUUGGAUACUAUUCGGCUAGAGGAGUGGAGGGGGGACUGGAAUACUUGGUGUAGCAGUGAAAUGCGUAGAUAUCAAGUGGAACACCAGUGGCGAAGGCGAGUCCCUGGACACUUCCUGACACUGAGGCACGAAAGCUAGGGGAGCAAACAGG